UACCAGCACCCCGAGUGGUCGGGACGAUUAUUGGGCCUAAAGCAUCCGUAGCCGGUUCUACAAGUCUUCCGUUAAAUCCACCUGCUUAACAGAUGGGCUGCGGAGGAUACUAUAGAGCUAGGAGGCGGGAGAGGCAGGCGGUACUUAGUGGGUAGGGGUAAAAUCCGUUGAUCCAUUGAAGACCACCAGUGGCGAAGGCGGCUUGCCAGAACGCACUCGACGGUGAGGGAUGAAAGCUGGGGGAGCAAACCGG
rnacentral:rRNA from 1 species